AAUAAGUGUACUUUUGCACUAUUCACUUAUUUAAAUUUUUUUUAUGAUUAGUAUUUUUAUUGCUAUUAGAUGAUAAAACAUGAAUAAUAUUUUAUGUGUGACUAAAUAUUUUUAAAUUUUUCAUAAAAUUUUUAAAUAAGAUGGACGGUUAAACGUUGGGCACGGAUAUCCACGGCUACCCUUAUU
rnacentral:pre_miRNA from 1 species